rnacentral:rRNA from 1 species
AUGUGGUUUAAUUCGAAGCAACGCGAAGAACCUUACCAGGUCUUGACAUCCAACUAACGAAGUAGAGAUACAUUAGGUGCCCUUCGGGGAAAGUUGAGACAGGUGGUGCAUGGUUGUCGUCAGCUCGUGUCGUGAGAUGUUGGGUUAAGUCCCGCAACGAGCGCAACCCUUGUCAUUAGUUGCUACGCAAGAGCACUCUAAUGAGACUGCCG